GACGAACGCUGGCGGCGUGCUUAACACAUGCAAGUCGAACGAAGAGCGAUGGAAGCUUGCUUCUAUCACUCUUAGUGGCGAACGGGUGAGUAACGCGUAAUCAACCUGCCCUUCAGAGGGGGACAACAGUUGGAAACGACUGCUAAUACCGCAUACGAUCUAAUCUCGGCAUCGAGGAUAGAUGAAAGGUGGCCUCUACAUGUAAGCUAUCACUGAAGGAGGGGAUUGGGUCUGAUUAGCUAGUUGGAGGGGUAACGGGCCACCAAGGCGAUGAUCAGUAGCCGGUCUGAGAGGAUGAACGGCCACAUUGGGACUGAGACACGGCCCAGACUCCUACGGGAGGCAGCAGUGGGGAAUCUUCCGCAAUGGACGAAAGUCUGACGGAGCAACGCCGCGUGAGUGAUGACGGCCUUCGGGUUGUAAAGCUCUGUUAAUCGGGACGAAAGGCCUUCUUGCGAACAGUUAGAAGGAUUGACGGUACCGGAAGAGAAAGCCACGGCUAACUACGUG
rnacentral:rRNA from 1 species